UACGUAGGGUGCAAGCGUUAAUCGGAAUUACUGGGCGUAAAGCGUGCGCAGGCGGUUUUGCAAGACAGAUGUGAAAUCCCCGGGCUUAACCUGGGAACUGCAUUUGUGACUGCAAGGCUAGAGUGUGUCAGAGGGAGGUGGAAUUCCGCGUGUAGCAGUGAAAUGCGUAGAGAUGCGGAGGAACACCGAUGGCGAAGGCAGCCUCCUGGGAUAACACUGACGCUCAUGCACGAAAGCGUGGGGAGCAAACAGG
rnacentral:rRNA from 1 species